GGCCCUACGGGAGGCAGCAGUGGGGAAUAUUACACAAUGGGGGAAACCCUGAUGCAGCAACGCCGCGUGAAGGAAGACGGUUUUCGGAUUGUAAACUUCUUUUCUUAGUGAAGAAGCAAGUGACGGUAGCUAAGGAAUAAGCAUCGGCUAACUACGUGCCAGCAGCCGCGGUAAUACGUAGGAUGCGAGCGUUAUCCGGAAUUACUGGGUGUAAAGGGAGCGCAGGCGGGACUGCAAGGUGAAUGUGGAAUACCGCA
rnacentral:rRNA from 1 species